AUGGCGUCACCCACCUAUCCAGUCUUUAUUAUGGGAAUUCUGUUCUCCCCGACCAGCAAUCACGCACCCAUCCCUUGGCUCCGGCUUCUGUCCACUCACUGCUUUUACACUAUCCGUGACCAAGCCGUGAGGUUACCAGGCGGCACCUCCCUCCUGAAUUUAAUCUCAGAUGCGGCUGUGUUUCCCGACCCCUCACUUCUGAGGGACUGCAGCUUUGACCUGCUCAGACCUUGUGGGGGAGGGUCUCAUGGGCAGUGGCCGGGUGCCUGCCCACCCCCAGGAACAUUCACGGGGCCUUGCUGCUGCUGAUACCCAGAGACUGCGGCUUGGUGCCUGCCUGCCCCAGAAAAAGUUCACGCAAUGUGGUAGCAGCACCGUUUCAGGAUUAUGGAAAAUCACAGGACACAUCUGGCACCAGGCUUCCCCUUAACGUCCUUGUUCCAACACCAGCGAAUGUGGUUGUUCUCCAGGGUGUGCUGGGACCUGCUGCAGCCACCCCACAGCCUCUACCAAAUGUCCUCCCAGCAGGCGAACCGCCACUCCCCAUUUGGCCCACGGACCCCUCGGACUUCGCUCUCUGCUCCUGGGGAUUCGCCCUUCCCACCACAGCACCGCCAGGCUCCCAAAUAAGCCCCCUGGACAUGGCACUCAUCAGUACUUCCACUCCCUGGCCAGCUGGGAGGAGCACCGGAGGCCCUUCGGACCUGGUGAAGCUGCCACUCUGGCUGCAAAUACCAGCAAGGGGUUACGCACAAGGGUGAUGCUUUCAGAUCGGGCUCCCCUGCAUCAGAGCUGUACCCGUAGGCCCAUGAGCCUCUUUGAAGGAGCUUCAGAAGGUAAGACCUCCCCAAGUACAAAGUUACCGAGGACUAGGGGGAAAAGGCUCAUCUCACUUUCAAUUUACAUUAAAUAAGCCACAUGGGAACUAUGGCUCCUUUACUGGCUCACACCCUCCCCUCCAACUGCUUGUUCAUAGACACACCACAAGCAAGCAGUCUAAAAUAGUCUUUAGCGCCUUUUACAAAACUGGCCUGGAUAUGAACAUCACAAAUGCAAUGUGCAAACUGAAAUCAGGGCUGAUGGUGUAUUAUCGGUGAUUGUUUAUAUUUAUCUGCCAGUGACUUCUUCAGAGCCUCAUAUUUAUUCAUUCAGUUCUUCCUUUGGGUCACAUCAGGGAGAAUGAUUCUUAUAUAUAGUGCUUCUUGGGAGGCACAGGAUCCGGGAUGUAUUCCUUCCCUCUCAUAUGAGGCGGAAGAAGAACAGUCAUUAAGGAUUUUCCUGUAACUUGGGGACAGACCCACUGGGGUCUGAGAACACACACGCUGACACCAUUCUAUGUAAACCCAGACAUGCUUCUGCUCAUUUUAAUUAGACAGAUAAAAUUAGCAAGGAGAUUAAGAUAAAAGGAGAAAUUAAAAAUAUUUAAAUGUUAGGUGGAAUUUACAAAAGUGAAUUGAACAAUGAGGUACAAGAAGGAAUGCGGAGAAACACAGACACAUUUGAAACAUUCCUCGGAUGCCACACGGCUUAAGCCAGUCCACAAAUAAGGUAAGAAGAAUUCUCCCUUGCCAUCUCUUGAAUUACAGAUUCUAGGGAUGUGGAAGAACAUUCUCCAGAAACACUUUCCUUCUCCUUCUCUUCAGAUGUUACCAAGAAUAAUCAGUCAGUAUCAUUCUAGAAUGGCCCACACUGCAUCCAAUUCAAACCACUCACCUGUUUCCUGUCUGAAUUUGCAAGCUCCUGAGAGUUUUUUCCCCUUUAAUUUUAUUUUUCUCCCUGCUCUCUCUCCCCAUUGGGCCAAUAGGCCAACUGGGCCAACCAGAACACCAAACCAACAACACGCUCCAGCCCCUUUGGAUUUUCCAGGGGCAAAGAUCUCCCGGUUCUUCUUUCUUGUUUGCAUCUGUUACGAACAAGCACAGUCAUUUUUAUAACACAGACAUACAUAUGUGUGCUCCUGCACACGGAAACAGGUUUUUCUUUUUUUUUUUUUUUUCCAAUUUGUGGUUUCUUUUUCCUUUUUGCAGAAAAUGCAAACAAAAGAAAAACAAGGUUUUCAAUUGAAGGUACAUCUCUUCUUCAAUAUGAAGACAUUAAUUGAAUUGGUUGGAUCCCCCAUGCAGUGGUCAGCAAAGUCCUUUGGCAACUGACAGAACGACAUCUGGAGACUCAGGAGCUGGGGUUUGUUUGAAGAAACUUCCCUACACGAGUCAUGAGCAAAGGGAAAUGGAUGUGGGAGAAGGGAGAGGGCUCGUGGGGAGGAGUACAAAAGGAGAAAAGAAAAGAAUGUCAUUGGUGAGGAAGAAAAUGGAAAACUGCCUCUGUUUCUUCCCUCUACCUCCUUCCCUUUCUUCCUGUGGAUCGGUGACUCCAGCCCCGAGUGGGAGCGGAGUUUACUCUUGGUUGCCCCGAUGCAUACUGUUUUGUCUUCACUUCUGUUGAACAUCACCCUUUCAUAUUUUUAUUAUUAUGUUUUGGUUUCCCACGGCAUCUUAUACAUGCUUCUGUCACUAAGAAAUGAAGAUUGCCUAUUAAGAACAGGUCCAGUCUCUUCUUCACUGAUGUAAUGCAUUUCUUAGCUGAGAAGCCACUCUUUCCAGAACACUCCACAGUGGUCAACCUCUGGUUCCCUCUUGAGCAUGGUCCUUUUCCUUCCUCUCCUCCCCCCAGAAAAUGAGAGUUCUCAUGCCAUUGCCGUUGGUGACUGACUCAUCUGGACCCUCAUAGAAUGAAUGCUGUUCAGGAUCUUCUUCUGAUGACCUGCCAAGGUGACCCCUAUUCUCAGGAGGUCUCUAGGAGGGAAAAAGUCACAAAAAAGGGCACGUUAGUGUUACGGCAGCUUUUCAAGGAUCACAACUCAUCACAGAAGGCAAGCUCUUGAAUUAGACUGAGGAAAUUGCUCCAUUGGAUUCCUCCAGUUGUGGGGGGUUAGGGGGUGAUGGCUCCAUACUCAGCCACAUCACAGUGAGGAAGCAGGCGCAGCCCCACCAGCACGAGCACCCAUUGCCGCCCCUGAACCCGGGCUCUCCGGUCAUCUAGGGCAUCCAUGCCAGCUCUGCAAGAUGGGGAAGCUGCUUUUCCACUGGUAAGUGCUGCUUUUGUUGGUGAUGGUGGUGCCUGACAAUAAUUCAUAGUGGCAGGGACUGCCUUUAUAUGGCAUCAACGGAAAAUGAACUCACAUUUAAAAAAUGAAUUCUGUUGUUUAGUGGAUGCUAGGCUAGAUGCACAUUCAAGCCAUCUCCCUAGGGAAAGUGGAGCUUCCAUCAUUUCUGGCAAGAACCAACCUCAAAGAGGUAGAGUGGGGGCACCUAGGUGGCUUAGUUGGUUGAGCAGUUGAGCAUCCACUCUUGGUUUCAG